AGGAAUCUGCCUGGUAGUGGGGGAUAACGUCCGGAAACGGGCGCUAAUACCGCAUACGUCCUGAGGGAGAAAGUGGGGGAUCUUCGGACCUCACGCUAUCAGAUGAGCCUAGGUCGGAUUAGCUAGUUGGUGGGGUAAAGGCCUACCAAGGCGACGAUCCGUAACUGGUCUGAGAGGAUGAUCAGUCACACUGGAACUGAGACACGGUCCAGACUCCUACGGGAGGCAGCAGUGGGGAAUAUUGGACAAUGGGCGAAAGCCUGAUCCAGCCAUGCCGCGUGUGUGAAGAAGGUCUUCGGAUUGUAAAGCACUUUAAGUUGGGAGGAAGGGCAGUAAGUUAAUACCUUGCUGUUUUGACGUUACCAACAGAAUAAGCACCGGCUAACUUCGUGCCAGCAGCCGCGGUAAUACGAAGGGUGCAAGCGUUAAUCGGAAUUACUGGGCGUAAAGCGCGCGUAGGUGGUUCAGCAAGUUGGAUGUGAAAUC
rnacentral:rRNA from 1 species